GUGAGGAAUUUUCCGCAAUGGGCGCAAGCCUGACGGAGCGACGCCGCGUGAGGGAUGAAGGCUUUCGGGUUGUAAACCUCUUUUGCAAGGGAAAAAGGUUCACGUGCUCAUACCACGUGAGUUUGAUGGUACUUUGCGAAUAAGCCCCGGCUAACUACGUGCCAGCAGCCGCGGUAAUACGUAGGGGGCGAGCGUUGUCCGGAGUUACUGGGCGUAAAGGGCGUGUAGGCGGUUGAAUAAGUCCGGUGUGAAAUUCCGAAGCUUAACUUCGGAACUGCGCUGGAUACUGUUUGACUGGAGUUUGGCAGGGGUAACUGGAAUUCCUGGUGUAACGGUGAAAUGUGUAGAUAUCAGGAGGAACACCUGUGGCGAAGGCGGGUUACUGGGCCACAACUGACGCUGAGACGCGAAAGCGUGGGUAGCAAACAGGAUUAGAAACCCCUGUAGUCC
rnacentral:rRNA from 1 species